AUUGAACGCUGGCGGCAGGCCUAACACAUGCAAGUCGAACGAGUGGCGGACGGGUGAGUAAUGUCUGGGAAACUGCCUGAUGGAGGGGGAUAACUACUGGAAACGGUAGCUAAUACCGCAUAACAUCAGAUGUGCCCAGAUGGGAUUAGCUAGUUGGUGGGGUAACGGCUCACCAAGGCGACGAUCCCUAGCUGGUCUUAGAGGAUGACCAGCCACAAUGGAACUGAGAAAGGUGCCAGUCUCCUACGUGAGGCCGUCGGGGGGAAUUUUGGACAAUGGGCGCAAGCCCUAUGCCGCCAUUGCGGGGGUAUGAAGAAGGCCUGCUGGUUUUAAAGUACUUUCAGCGUGGAGGCCUUACCCGCAGAUUAAGCCACGGCUAACUCCGUGCCAGCAGCCGCGGUAAUUC
rnacentral:rRNA from 1 species